rnacentral:rRNA from 1 species
AACGAACGCUGGCGGCAUGCCUAACACAUGCAAGUCGAACGAGACCUUCGGGUCUAGUUGCGCACGGGUGCGUAACGCGUGGGAACCUGCCCUUAGGUUCGGAAUAACUCCCGGAAAGGGGUGCUAAUACCGGAUAAUGUCUUCGGACCAAAGAUUUAUCGCCUUUGGAUGGGCCCGCGUUGGAUUAGCUAGUUGGUAGGGUAAAAGCCUACCAAGGCGACGAUCCAUAGCUGGUCUGAGAGGAUGAUCAGCCACACUGGGACUGAGACACGGCCCAGACUCCUACGGGAGGCAGCAGUGGGGAAUAUUGGACAAUGGGCGAAAGCCUGAUCCAGCAAUGCCGCGUGAGUGAUGAAGGACUUAGGGUUGUAAAGCUCUUUUACCCGGGAUGAUAAUGACAGUACCGGGAGAAUAAGCUCCGGCUAACUCCGUG